UAGGGAAUCUUCGGCAAUGGACGAAAGUCUGACCGAGCAACGCCGCGUGAGUGAAGAAGGUUUUCGGAUCGUAAAACUCUGUUGUUAGAGAAGAACAAGGACGUUAGUAACUGAACGUCCCCUGACGGUAUCUAACCAGAAAGCCACGGCUAACUACGUGCCAGCAGCCGCGGUAAUACGUAGGUGGUAAGCGUUGUCCGGAUUUAUUGGGCGUAAAGCGAGCGCAGGCGGUUUCUUAAGUCUGAUGUGAAAGCCCCCGGCUCAACCGGGGAGGGUCAUUGGAAACUGGGAGACUUGAGUGCAGAAGAGGAGAGUGGAAUUCCAGGUGUAGCGGUGAAAUGCGUAGAUAUAUGGAGGAACACCAGUGGCGAAGGCGGCUCUCUGGUCUGUAACUGACGCUGAGGCUCGAAAGCGUGGGGAGCAAACAGG
rnacentral:rRNA from 1 species